rnacentral:lncRNA from 1 species
GAAGAAAUGAUUGAUCAUCGUAACCGUGCCGCGCAGGGACUCCCUCCCCCACAGAGGCAAGUAGGCCGAGGCCCCGCAGCGCACCUUGUUACUCAGCAAUGGACCCAAGCAGGGCAUACCAUAGCUCCCACAUCCGGACAGGCCCUAGCUUCCGCCACGUUGAACGCAGUGCCGGUAUUGGCAUAUGAUAGCGCACCCACUGAGGCAGCACCAUCCGAAAAAACUGACGAUAAAAAGAAGAAGAAGAGGCCCAAUAGGCCCUUGCCAGGAGCAAGAUUUUGUACUUUCCAUCAACUAUAUGGGCAUGACACCAGUGAGUGUCGGGAUGUCAACCGGCGCCCUGAUCGAAGCAACCCCCUC